rnacentral:rRNA from 1 species
GUUGAUAAGGUUAAGUGAAUAAGGGCGCACGGUGGAUGCCUUGGCACUAGGAGCCGAUGAAGGACGGGACUAACACCGAUAUGCUUUGGGGAGCUGUACGUAAGCUAUGAUCCAGAGAUUUCCGAAUGGGGGAACCCAACAUCUUUAAUAGGAUGUUACGAUUGUGUGAAUACAUAGCACAUUCGAGGUAGACGCAGAGAACUGAAACAUCUAAGUACCUGCAGGAAGAGAAAGAAAAUUCGAUUCCCUGAGUAGCGGCGAGCGAAACGGGAAAAGCCCAAACCAGCAAGCUUGCUUGUUGGGGUUGUAGGACUCCAAUAUGGUAGUUCUUUCAGAUAGUCGAAUGACUUGGAAAAGUCAGUCAAAGAGGGUAAAAACCCCGUAGACGAAAUGUGGAAGACACCUAGGAGGAUCCUGAGUACGGCGGAACACGAGAAAUUCCGUCGGAAUCCGGGAGGACCAUCUCCCAAGGCUAAAUACUCCCUAGUGACCGAUAGUGAACCAGUACCGUGAGGGAAAGGUGAAAAGCACCCCGGAAGGGGAGUGAAAUAGAACCUGAAACCGUGUGCCUACAACAAGUCAAAGCCCGUUAAUGGGUGAUGGCGUGCCUUUUGUAGAAUGAACCGGCGAGUUACGAUUGCAUGCGAGGUUAAGUUGAAGAGACGGAGCCGCAGCGAAAGCGAGUCUGAAUAGGGCGUUUGAGUAUGUAGUCGUAGACCCGAAACCAUGUGAUCUACCCAUGUCCAGGUUGAAGGUGCGGUAAAACGCACUGGAGGACCGAACCCACGUACGUUGAAAAGUGCGGGGAUGAGGUGUGGGUAGCGGAGAAAUUCCAAACGAACUUGGAGAUAGCUGGUUCUCUCCGAAAUAGCUUUAGGGCUAGCCUCGGAAUUGAGAAUGAUGGAGGUAGAGCACUGUUUGGACUAGGGGCCCAUCUCGGGUUACCGAAUUCAGAUAAACUCCGAAUGCCAUUCAUUCAUAUCCGGGAGUCAGACUGUGAGUGAUAAGAUCCAUAGUCGAAAGGGAAACAGCCCAGACCACCAGCUAAGGUCCCAAAAUAUAUGUUAAGUGGAAAAGGAUGUGGGGUUGCACAGACAACUAGGAUGUUGGCUUAGAAGCAGCCACCAUUUAAAGAGUGCGUAAUAGCUCACUAGUCGAGUGACCCUGCGCCGAAAAUGUACCGGGGCUAAACAUAUUACCGAAGCUGUGGAGUACACCUUUAGGUGUAUUGGUAGGAGAGCGUUCUAAGGGCGUUGAAGGCAGAUCGUGAGGACUGCUGGAGCGCUUAGAAGUGAGAAUGCCGGUAUGAGUAGCGAAAGACAGGUGA